UUGAUGCAUUAAUUAUUUGUGCUCUCGUAGCAUUUUCGAUUACCGGCAAGAUUUGUUUCGGGUCCCCUCCUAGUACAAGAACUUUUCCUCCGAAUGGUAUGUCUUGAAAUCUUGGUUGUUUUUCAGAAACUAUAUCUCUAAGUGAUCUAUCAAGAGCUUCAAAACAUUGUCUAUUUGUCAUCAGAGCUUCAUCCCAAAUGAUAAGGUCUGUGGUAAGUAUGAGAUCGGCAAGCUUUGUUCCUCUUUUGAUGUCGCAAAUUGAGAGCUCAUCCAAAUCGAUAGGAAUCCGAAAUCUUGAAUGUGCGGUUUGUCCAUUGGGAAGUAGUAAUGAUGCAACUCCUGAAGAAGCUACGGUGAGUACAAUUUUUCUUUGGGCUCUUAGAUACGCAAUUAUAGUGUUCCAUAGAAAUGUUUUUCCAGUACCGCCAUGUCCUAUGAUGAAGAAGAUAUUAGGUUCUUUAGCAAGGACAGCUUUUAUUAUAGCAUGAAAUGCAUUUUUUUUCUCAUUAUUUAACUGUUGGUAUAAUUGGUUUGAUUCCUUCUCUAGCAUUUCAUAGUUGUAACUAAGUUCUUCUUCGAUCAACUUGUUGUUUGUAUCUGUAAUGUAUUGUGCCGAUUUGUGUGGGAGGUUAUAAUUGUACAUGUAAGUUCCGUUUUUGGAAAAGAUGUCUUCAAGCUCUUCUAAUAGCAAAUCUUGUAACUCGGUAUCUGUUGGGUUAUACAUAACUGGAUGAUAUUUUUUUAUUAGUUGUCGUUCAAUAUCAUCAGUCAUUUUUCUCCAGAUAUGCUCAUAAAAUUUUUGUUCAUCUUGUAAGUUACAAUAUAGCACCAUGGUGAAAAAUAGGUAUCUCAGUUGUCCAGCAGUUGCCCAAUUAGCGGCUUCAUUAAAGGUAUCAUACCAUUCUUUAUCAUCCUUUAGUAGUCCGCGCGCAGCAUAGGCUUCUUUGAAUGUCGAAUAUACUAUUCCGUUAUAUGUUCUUAUAUCUUUGUAGUCCUUAGCUCCUCUAACUAUCAUCGGUAGCAUUCGUAGGUAAAAACGUUCUCCCUCUAUAGGGUUCACAUAGUAUAAUCUACCAAUCUUAAAACUGCGUUGUCUCUUUGUCCAUUUUCUAUUUUUGUCAACCCAUGUCCACUCUUAUGGAAAUUCGCAAUAUGUAAGUUUCCUUGCAUCUUCAUGCAACUUAUUUGCUUCAAACUAUUCUGUUAAUUUUGUUUUUUGAAAUUUUGGAUCUUUAGCAAUUGAUUUUAAUUUUGUGCCCUCACGUAAACAUAUGGUGCUUUGUAGCGGAAGAUAUACCGGUAGUCUUUCAACUGGUGGCCAAUGAUAAUGCUUAUUACAAGAGGCUUUGUUUUCAUGAUAUGGAAUGCCAAGUUGGAAACCUCUUUCUCCAUAGGGGAACAACAAUGGAUAUUGCAAAGCCAUGUACGCUGGAUGGAAAAUAGUUAUAUGUUGAAGACCUUUGCUUCUACUACUGAUGAUAAUACCUCUCUUGUGUCGUUCUAAAGUGAGGUCACCAACUAUUAACAUUGCUAAAUCCUCGGGGUGUGUCAUUUCAUAUUGUACUGCAUCACUUUUGUCAGCACCUAAAAUACGUAUGCUUA